UACGUAGGGGGCAAGCGUUGUCCGGAAUCACUGGGCGUAAAGCGCACGUAGGCGGCCCGGUAAGUCCGUUGUGAAAGUCCGAGGCUCAACCUCUGGAGGCCAAUGGAUACUGCCGGGCUAGAGUCCGGAAGAGGCGAGUGGAAUUCCUGGUGUAGCGGUGGAAUGCGCAGAUAUCAGGAGGAACACCAAUGGCGAAGGCAGCUCGCUGGGACGGUACUGACGCUGAGGUGCGAAAGCGUGGGGAGCGAACAGG
rnacentral:rRNA from 1 species